CAGUCGAGCGACUGAUUAGAAGCUUGCUUCUAUGACGUUAGCGGCGGACGGGUGAGUAACACGUGGGCAACCUGCCUGUAAGACUGGGAUAACUCCGGGAAACCGGAGCUAAUACCGGAUAACAUUUUCUCUUGCAUAAGAGAAAAUUGAAAGAUGGUUUCGGCUAUCACUUACAGAUGGGCCCGCGGUGCAUUAGCUAGUUGGUGAGGUAACGGCUCACCAAGGCAACGAUGCAUAGCCGACCUGAGAGGGUGAUCGGCCACACUGGGACUGAGACACGGCCCAGACUCCUACGGGAGGCAGCAGUAGGGAAUCUUCCGCAAUGGACGAAAGUCUGACGGAGCAACGCCGCGUGAGUGAUGAAGGCUUUCGGGUCGUAAAACUCUGUUGUUAGGGAAGAACAAGUACAAGAGUAACUGCUUGUACCUUGACGGUACCUAACCAGAAAGCCACGGCUAACUACGUGCCAGCAGCCGCGGUAAUACGUAGGUGGCAAGCGUUAUCCGGAAUUAUUGGGCGUAAAGCGCGCGCAGGCGGUUUCUUAAGUCUGAUGUGAAAGCCCACGGCUCAACCGUGGAGGGUCAUUGGAAACUGGGGAACUUGAGUGCAGAAGAGAAAAGCGGAAUUCCACGUGUAGCGGUGAAAUGCGUAGAGAUGUGGAGGAACACCAGUGGCGAAAGGCGGCUUUUUGGUCUGUAACUGACGCUGAGGCGCGAAAGCGUGGGGAGCAAACAGGAUUAGAUACCCUGGUAGUCCACGCCGUAACGAUGAGUGCUAAGUGUUAGAGGGUUUCCCGCCCUUUAGUGCUGCAGCUAACGCAUUUAAGGCACUCCGCCUGGGGGGAGUACGGUCGCAGACUGGAAAACUUCAAGGAUUUGAACGGGGGCCCG
rnacentral:rRNA from 2 species